GCUACGUACUUAUUGGUUGCUCAGGAAGACGGAAGCGAAAAGUGAGGCUCGAUCCUCCCAGGCCAACACCGGAACUGCUGGGUACCUUCUCAGUACUUUAUUCGGCCCUGUGUGACAUGUAAAGUCUUUUAGUCUCCCAUUUGCUCCAUUGGACCUAGAACAUACCAGGAUCUAAGAAAAUAUUUCCCAAAGCGUGUGAGAAAUCACGGCACUCAUUAAACAAAAGGCUUUGGUUUUUGUCUUUCUGUUCAAGACCUAGCCUGUAGAAUAAAAAAAAAUUCAUCCUAGGUAUUAUAUGUGAAGCAGAGAAAAGGAAAGAAUCAAAAGGAAAUAGAUUAAGGCAGAGCUGACUUCGGACGUCAUCUAAUUUCUUUAUUUUGCAGCUGGGAAAAGUGAGACCGAGAGUGUGAGUGACUUGACUAACAUCACACAACCAAUUAGCAACAGAACCAGAACGACUCCUGACUCCGACUCUGGGAUCCCUUUUUGGAGACGUGAAAGAGUGAAAAACUGCCGAGGCUGCACCUCAUCCAGUGGUCGCAGACAUUGCAGUCUCCAGAAGUCAGCCCCCCUGCCCCUGCCUCCAGCCCACACAAGAAUCAGGUGCUCCCAGGACCUGUCAGAUCCCCGAGCCUGGCUGCCCGUCAUCAUCCUUCCUGACUCCUGGGGCCCUGCUCUUCCCAGAGGCGGUGCUCCAGGUAAGAGUUCAAGGUUGGUGAACAGGUGCAGGGGAGGUAGGGAGAAAGCAGCCCCGGCCUCUCUUGCCUUAGAUUUCUAGAAUUGUAAAUACUUUGGAAAAGAAACAACAGUAAAGUCAGCAUUGAGGAGAGACUCUGUUGCUCUUUUAACAAUGCCUGUUUGUAGCUAUGAGACUUCUACAGGAUUCAGGACUCUCUGGCCUUCAAGUAUCACUUGAAGGUGCUCUGAGGACUGCUUGGGGAGACCAUGAUGAAGACUCAGGUCAGAUAAAGCUUCCCACCCCAUCAGUUCCUUCACUGGAAGGGGAGGCUGGGAGCAGAAUGACUGAUGAGCGGAAGCUGGUCUGACCCCCAAUUCAGAGAUCAAAGACCCACCACCACCACCUGGAGUAAUCACCAACUGCCCCACCCCCAAACUCAGUGGCGAUGAACCUGGA
rnacentral:lncRNA from 1 species